rnacentral:rRNA from 1 species
CCUACGGGGGGCAGCAGUGAGGAAUAUUGGUCAAUGGGCGGGAGCCUGAACCAGCCAAGCCGCGUGAGGGAAGAAGGUACAGCGUAUCGUAAACCUCUUUUGUCAGGGAACAAAGGCGGGGACUAGUCCCCUGAUGAGGGUACCUGAAGAAAAAGCAUCGGCUAACUCCGUGCCAGCAGCCGCGGUAAUACGGAGGAUGCGAGCGUUAUCCGGAUUUAUUGGGUUUAAGGGGUGCGCAGGCGGCCUGUUAAGUCAGCGGGAAAAGCCCGGGGCUCAACCCCGGCGAGCCGUUGAAACUGGCGGGCUGGAGUUGGAGAGAAGGACGCGGAAUGCGUGGUGUAGCGGUGAAAUGCAUAGAUAUCACGCAGAACUCCGAUUGCGAAGGCAGCAUACCGGCGCUCAACUGACGCUCAUGCACGAAAGUGUGGGUAUCGAACAGGAUUAGAUACCCGAGUAGUC